AACGACGUAGGCGCACCGCGGAGAAGUGCUUUAGUUCUGAAAUUCCAGAGUUCAUGCUCCAUUAGGUGCGGUCGAGAAUUACAAGGCAAAAGAACAUCAAUCAAGAUCGAAAGUUAGAGGUUCGAAGGCGAUCAGAUACCGCCCUAGUUCUAACCAUAAACGAUGCCAACCAGCGAUCCGCCUGAGUUACUCAAAUGACUCGGCGGGCAGCUUCCGGGAAACCAAAGUAUUUGGGUUCCGGGGGAAGUAUGGUUGCAAAGCUGAAACUUAAAGGAAUUGACGGAAGGGCACCACCAGGAGUGGAGCCUGCGGCUUAAUUUGACUCAACACGGGAAAACUUACCCGGCCCGGACACUGGGAGGAUUGACAGAUUGAGAGCUUUUUCUUGAUUCGGUGCAUGGUGGUGCAUGGCCGUUCUUAGUUGGUGGAGCGAUUUGUCUGGUUAAUUCCGAUAACGAACGAGACUCUGGCCUAUUAAAUAGGU
rnacentral:ncRNA from 1 species